UACGUAGGGUGCGAGCGUUAAUCAGAAUUACUGGGCGUAAAGCGUGCGCAGGCGGUGAUGUAAGACAGGUGUGAAAUCCCCGGGCUUAACCUGGGAACUGCGUCGGAUACUGGAUGGCUUGAAUUCGGGAGAGGGAUGCAGAAUUCCAGGUGUAGCGGUGAAAUGCGUAGAUAUCUGGAGGAAUACCGGUGGCGAAGGCGGCAUCCUGGACCGACAUUGACGCUGAUGAGCGAAAGCUAGGGGGGCAAACGGG
rnacentral:rRNA from 1 species